rnacentral:tRNA from 1 species
UCCCCGAUAGCUCAGCUGGUAGAGCAAGUGGCUGUUAACCACUGAGUCGCAGGUUCGAAUCCUGCUCGGGGAGCCA